rnacentral:rRNA from 1 species
ACGCUCGACACCUACGGGAGACAGCGGUGGGGAAUAUUGCACAAUGGAGGAAACUCUGAUGCAGCGAUGCCGCGUGAGGGAAGAAGGUUUUCGGAUUGUAAACCUCUGUCUUUGGGGACGAUAAUGACGGUACCCAAGGAGGAAGCUCCGGCUAACUACGUGCCGGCAGCCGCGGUAAUCUGAGCGGGCUGGCAAGGC